AGGUUGUAUUUGGUUGAACCCCACUAAAGAAAUCAUAAGUUUUCUCACUCUACUCGGCGAAAGAGAAGACAAGUGGACAAGGUUUUGCUUGAAACUCCAGAGGAAGAGAUUGACUUCCAAAGUUUGAGUAUUAGAGAGAUAAUUUUGCUUGCAGAGUACUGGGAGCGGAUGUCG